CAGAGGAAGAAAAACAAGUUCUUGCCGAAGAUUCAUGCCUGGGUUCAAGAACACGGUGGUGAUACUAUGAUUCCUUUCAGUGGCGUUUUUGAAAGGACUCUUGCUGAUAUGCCCCCAGAUGAA